ACGGAUGUAGCACAGCUUGGUAGUGCAUUUGUUUUGGGUACAAAAUGUCACGGGUUCAAAUGUCAUCCUUA
rfam:Gossypium raimondii chromosome 12, whole genome shotgun sequence.